AAGGGAGACCUAAUUCAGGUAUGGGACGAAAAAAAAGUAGUCGCUACCAAGAAUCAAUCCCAAAAGGUCGGAGCGAGGUAUGAGGCUUUCAAACUAGGUUCUGGGUUCAAACAAGACCUGAAUCAGGAACAAGGGCUAUUAGCUCAGGUGGUUAGAGCGCACCCCUGAUAAGGGUGAGGUCCCUGGUUCGAGUCCAGGAUGGCCCACCUGCACAGGUGGCAAAAACAAGAGAAGCGAGGAAUCAGCACCUUAUCUUAUCUAUAUAUAAGAGAGAAUGCUGGCUCUGAGUAAAGAGUCCAGAGGAACCUUGAGAACUGCAUAGAGCUAGGUGAAAAAGCCAAAAAAGAAGACCGCAA
rnacentral:tRNA from 1 species